UAGGGAAUCUUCGGCAAUGGACGAAAGUCUGACCGAGCAACGCCGCGUGAGUGAAGAAGGUUUUCGGAUCGUAAAACUCUGUUGUUAGAGAAGAACAAGGACGUUAGUAACUGAACGUCCCCUGACGGUAUCUAACCAGAAAGCCACGGCUAACUACGUGCCAGCAGCCGCGGUAAUACGUAGGUGGCAAGCGUUGUCCGGAUUUAUUGGGCGUAAAGCGAGCGCAGGCGGUUUCUUAAGUCUGAUGUGAAAGCCACCGGCUCAACCGGGGAGGGUCAUUUGAAACUGGGAGACUUGAGUGCAGAAGAGGAGAGUGGAAUUCCAUGUGUAGCGGUGAAAUGCGUAGAUAUAUGGAGGAACACCAGUGGCGAAGGCGGCUCUCUGGUCUGUAACUGACGCUGAGGCUCGAAAGCGUGGGGAGCAAACAGG
rnacentral:rRNA from 1 species